rnacentral:rRNA from 1 species
CCUACGGGUGACAGCAGUGGGGGAUAUUGCACAAUGGGGGCAACCCUGAUGCAGCGACGCCGCGUGGGUGAAGGAGUGCUUCGGCAUGUAAAGCCCUAUCGGCAGGGAAGAAGCAAGACGGUACCUGACUAAGAAGCCCCGGCUAACUACGUGCCAGCAGCCGCGGUAAUACGUAGGGGGCGAGCGUGAUCCGGAUUCACUGGGUGUAAAGGGAGCGUAGACGGCCAUGCAAGCCAGGGGUGAAAGCCCGGGGCCCAACCCCGGGACUGCCCUUGGAACUGUGCGGCUAGAGUGCGGGAGGGGCAGGCGGAAUGCCUGGUGUAGCGGUGAAAUGCGUAGAUAUCAGGAGGAACACCGGCGGCGAAGGCGGCCUGCUGGACUGCGACUGACGUUGAGGCUCGAAAGCGUGGGGAGCGAACAGGAUUAGAUACCCUUGUAGUC